ensembl:snoRNA
UACAGCUGUGUCAUAUUCAGUGCCUUGCCCCAUACAUGGGAGCACUGGCCCUACAGGCUGCCACAGAAACACUGUAACUCAAGGGCCCUGUCCAUCUCCUCUGGGCCUCAGGGGUAAAUGUUGUUACAGACAUUA